UACGUUCCCGGGUCUUGUACACACCGCCCGUCACACCAUGGGAGCGGGUUCCACCAGAAGUAGUUAGCCUAACCGCAAGGGGGGCGAUUACCACGGUGGGGUUCGUGACUGGGGUG
rnacentral:rRNA from 1 species